GUGGGAUUUAAGUGUGAUUUGAUGUCCUAAAGUCAAGGAUAUAUUUAUAAAUGCAGAACAUUUUUCUGAAAUUUGUCCAAAUACUUCUUUUUCUUCUCUCUUUACUCAAAAAGAAUUUUUCUAUAUUUCAACAGAAUGACCUGCAAUUCUUGUAAUCUGAUAGUGUACAAACAAGGCCAUGAUCCUAUUUUUAUAAUGGUGGUAUCUAGAAAUUAGAUAAAGUGAUAUUCUUUUGAUUGUAUUAUAUACAAAAUAUGCAAUUGUCGAAACAGCAGAUAGUGUCUGAUCAGAAAAUUUUAAGUUAUGAUUUUGAUAAAUAAAAACUAUAAAAGAAACAACAACAACUGACAAUUAAAAAAG
rnacentral:lncRNA from 1 species